rnacentral:lncRNA from 10 species
AUAAGGUAUUCCCAACUCUCAGAGAGAGACACUGGGGCUCAGGGUAAAGUUGUGUGCCCAAGGUCUUGCUAGGGCAGACCACCUGGGACUCACACCCAGGCCUAUUUCAGUGGACCCUUACUGUGUACUGCCUGUCAGGCCCUGAGCUACCAUGUGGCUCAAAGUUCAGAGAAACUGUAGCUACAGGUUAAACAGCCUUACGUGAACUUGGCGGGCCUACUUUAUUCAGGCAACAGUCUAGCCUUUCUUGUAUUCUUGGUGGCUGGAGAGUCAGAGGGGAGAGAGUCCCUGAGGUCGGGAAGCAGAGGCUCCAAUAAUGCGAACCUACGAAACUAGACUGCACGAAGGACUGUGAGAGACACAGUCUAUGUUGCCCAGGCUGGAGUGCAGCGGCACGAUCACGGCUCACUGCAGGCUCAACCUCCUGGGCUCAAGUGCCUCAGCCUAGCGAGUAGUUGGGAUUCUAGGCAUGUGCCACCAUGUCCAGCUAAUUUUCAUGGAUCAGGAAACCUGAAGUUCCAUUUAAAG